rnacentral:lncRNA from 1 species
UAAGAGAGCAGUAUACUCUUGGGCCAAACCAUUUUCUAGGAUGAGCAGUGAGAAGAAAGCCUCAGAUCAAUGACAACGGAGAUGGAAGGGAGACUGUGGCUGUAUGUCCUGAAGGCAGCUCUUAACUAGUUAUCUAUCAUCCCAUAAGCAAAUAAAAGGCUCUGCUCCAGCAUCAGAGGAGGUCUGUUCCACAUUCCACAGAGGAGGAAAGGAGAGU